rnacentral:rRNA from 1 species
GACGAACGCUGGCGGCGUGCUUAACACAUGCAAGUCGAACGGAAAGGCCUGCUUUCCCUUGUGGAUUGCGGGUACUCGCGUGGCGAACGGGUGAGUAACACGUGAGUGAUCUGCCCCCAACUUGGGUAUAAGCCUGGGAAACUGGGUCUAAUUCCCGAUAGGACUGCAGGGUGGUGCCUGUGGUGGAAAACGAUUUUCUAGUGGUUGGGGCUGAGCUCGCGGCCUAUCAGCUUGUUGGUGGGGUAAUGGCCUACCAAGGCGGCGACGGGUAGCCGGCCUGGGAGGGUGGACGGGCACAGUGGGACUGAGAUACGGCCCAGACGCCUACGGGAGGCAGCAGUGGGGAAUAAUGCACAAUGGGCGGAAGCCUGAGGCAGCGACGCCGCGUGGGGGAUGACGGCCUUCGGGUUGUAAACUCCUUUCGACCGCGAGGAAGCCACCUGGUUGGAAGGGUGGUGACGGUAGUGGUAGAAGAAGCACCGGCUAACUACGUG